UACGGAGGAUGCAAGCGUUAUCCGGAUUUAUUGGGCGUAAAGCGUCCGCAGGUGGCUAUUCAAGUCUGCUGUCAAAGCUCGGAGCUUAACUCCGAAUCGGCGGUGGAAACUGAACAGCUAGAGUGCAGUAGGGGUAGAGGGAAUUCCCAGUGUAGCGGUGAAAUGCGUAGAGAUUGGGAAGAACACCGGUGGCGAAAGCGCUCUACUGGACUGCAACUGACACUCAGGGACGAAAGCUAGGGGAGCGAAAGGG
rnacentral:rRNA from 1 species